UUUGAUAAAUUCUUCCGAUGUAUUCGUUAUUAAGGGUUUCACUGUAACAGAGAUGCUAAAGUACUAUGACAUAUCAAUGAUUACUAAUGCUCUGUGUGAUGUAUCAUAGAUGCUUAAUGCUACGUCUGAUGAAUCCCUGCUCAAUGCUACGUAUGACUUCUCACCAAUGUACAAUUCAAUUAUUAUUUAAACAGUAGUUCAAUACUAAUGCUAAAUUCGAUUUUUUAUAUAAUUUUAUAUGCUGCCAUAUGACGUAUCACCAAUACUCAAUGCCAAAGACUUUGCCUAUUAUAAAGACGAGGCGUUGGAAAUUUAGCCGACAUAUUGUGUCCCCAUGUACAGCUGUAUUUUAACGUCAUUGGUUUUUUGGUUUUUUGAGAGUCUAACGAUUGACAUUAAGACAUUAGAUAUUUACCAAAAUUGUGAAUGUUUUGUACUAAAAAGUAACUAAAAUUAAAGAUUAAUUUGUAUUUUAAAAUUUAUUUAAUCAUUUUUUGGAUAUGAAGAUCGUCUGAUGAAUUAAAGCUGAAUUUGUGAUAAAAGUUACGCAUCUCUUUUGUAUCAAAAACAGCCAAUAAUGUUCGUAAAAAUUUUCUGAUGUCGUCAUAUACUUUUUUAUGAGGUUCUAUGGAAUGGGAUUUUAGGCGAUGAAGAAGAGAGGGGACCAGAAAUUUCCAAUAUUAUAAACGGUUCGUCGAUGCCACUGCCAAGCAAAGUAACAUGUAUGAUACCCAACUGCCAAGCCAACCAAGAAUGGAAAGUCUGCGUUUACAAUACCAGCAGAUCCAAAAAGAAUAAAGUUUGGAUGAAGGAUCAUUAAUUGGAUCAUAUGAAUUCCUAAAGCUGAAAGAUCCAUGUCGAGUGUGUAAAAACUACAUUGUUAAAUAAAUAUUAUGACGUUA